rnacentral:tRNA from 1 species
AGGUAUAUAGUUUACUAUGAACGUUUAUUUUGCAAAUAAAAAGUAUUUAUCUUUA